rnacentral:rRNA from 1 species
ACUAGGGUGAGAAAUCGUCCGACGCCCUGGAGCGGUUGGAAGCGAUAGAACGGUUAGUGGCGGACGGGUGAGUAACACGUGGGUCAUCAACCCCUUAGAGGGGGACAACUGAUCGAAAGGUCAGCUAAUACCGCAUGACGUCUGUUUCGGCAGACGAAAGGAGCUUCGGCUCCGCUGAGGGAUGAGCCCGCGCCGAUUAGCUAGUUGGUGAGGUAAAGGCUCACCAAGGCGACGAUCGGUAGCUGGUCUGAGAGGAUGAUCAGCCACACUGGGACUGAGACACGGCCCAGACAACUACGGUUGGCAGCAGUAAGGGAUAUUGCACAAUGGGCGAAAGCCUGAUGCAGCGACGCCGCGUGAGCGAUGAAGGCCUUCGGGUCGUAAAGCUCUUUUCUGUGGGAAGAGGAAGGACGGUACCUCAGGAAUAAGUCUCGGCUAACUACGUGCCAGCAGCCGCGGUAAAACGUAGGAGGCGAGCGUUAUCCGGAUUCAUUGGGCGUAAAGGGCAAGUAGGCGGUUGUCAAAGUUGGGCGUGACAUCUCUCGGCUUAACUGAGAGGGAGCGCACGAAACUAGGCGACUAGAGGGCAGGAGAGGGUGGCGGAACUCCUAGUGUAGCGGUGGAAUGCUCAGAUACUAGGAAGAACACCAGUGGCGAAGGCGGCCACCUGGUCUGUACCUGACGCUGAGAGGCGAAAGCUAGGGGAGCGAACGGGCUUAGAUACCCCGGUAGUCCUAGCCGUAAACGGUGGAUACUAGGUAUUGGGGGCGAUAAAGCCUCAAGUGCCGAAGCAAACGCGUUAAGUAUCCCGCCUGGGGACUACGGCCGCAAGGUUAAAACUCAAAGGAAUUGACGGGGACCCGCACAAGCAGCGGAGCGUGUGAUUUAAUUCGAUUAACACGAAGAACCUUACCUGGGCUUGACAUGUACGUAGUAGGGAACCGAAAGGGGACCGAGCCUUCGGGCAGCGUACACAGGUGCUGCAUGGCUGUCGUCAGCUCGUGCCGUGAGGUGUUGGGUUAAGUCCCGCAACGAGCGCAACCCUUGUUGCCAGUUACAAGUGUCUGGCGAGACUGCCGGCAUAUAACCGGAGGAAGGUGGGGAUGACGUCAAGUCAGCAUGGCCUUUAUGUCCAGGGCUACACACACGCUACAAUGGUCGGUACAGAGGGGAGCGAAGCCGCGAGGUGGAGCGAAUCCCAAAAGCCGAUCUCA